rnacentral:sRNA from 1 species
UUUUGAGGAAGGAGAAG